AAAAUACAUAUAAAAACAAGGCACAUACAGCCAUUACAAUUUUGUUUGUUUUGCAGAAAAUAACUUUCUAUAAGAAAAUAUUUUAAAAUAAAAUUACUUAUUUUUAUUCAUUGACCUUUGAAAUACAUUGAGAAUUUUGUGUACUUUCAAUAAAUAAGAUUAUAAAAUGUUUGGUCAUACAAGGGCUUCAUAUUUUUCUAUUUGCAGUUAUUGUUGGUGGCCAGCAAUGGGCAAAAAUGAUAAGCAAUGGUUGGUGGGCUAAUGUGCAUGUGUACACGUGUUCCCUAUGUUAAGAUAAUUGUGUAUAAUUAGGCUAGAAUUAU
rnacentral:misc_RNA from 1 species